rnacentral:rRNA from 1 species
GACGAACGCUGGCGGCGUGCUUAACACAUGCAAGUCGAACGGAAAGGCCCUGCUUUUGUGGGGUGCUCGAGUGGCGAACGGGUGAGUAACACGUGAGUAACCUGCCCUUGACUUUGGGAUAACUUCAGGAAACUGGGGCUAAUACCGGAUAGGAGCUCCUGCUGCAUGGUGGGGGUUGGAAAGUUUCGGCGGUUGGGGAUGGACUCUGGCCUUAUCAGCUUGUUGGUGGGGUAGUGGCUUACCAAGGGUUAGAUGGCUAGCCGGCCUGAGAGGGUGACCAGCCACAUUGGGACUGAGAGAGGGCGCAGACGCGUACGGGAGGCAGCAGUGGGGAGUAUUGCACAAUGGGCGGGAGCCUGAUGCAGCAACGCCGCGUGCGGGAUGACGGCCUUCGGGUUGUAAACCGCUUUCGCCUGUGACGAAGCGUGAGUGACGGUAAUGGGUAAAGAAGCACCGGCUAACUACGUG